CGGAAUUUGUUAACAGAAAAGUAUGCAAGAAGAACGGCAGAAGCAGUAGCAGCAGCAGCAGCAAUAGCUCCAUUCAGCCAGCCAAUGGCCCGAAGGCGUGUUGGGCUCAGCUGAGACUCCUCUUUAGCUAGUUCCAGCUUCUGGAUUCAGGACUCAGGUGGAAUGUGGUCCUCAAAAAUCCUCCCAAGCUUACCCUUCCAGUUUGCAAGCGGGCUGAAUAUUCGUCUUUCUGUUUUGCGGAAUGUUGCCUCUGUUGCGGAAUGUUUUGGCUUUUGCCGAGUAACUGGCCGAGAUUGUGAAUUCGGUCGAAGGCCAAGUCGCUCACAGCCGGAAUUUGUUUUAUUAAAAUUUAUAAUGGUAA